rnacentral:lncRNA from 1 species
UUUUAUAAGUGUCUUUACUUGAUUUCUUAUCUCUCGUGCACAGGCUAAUUCAAAUAAUUGAACCAUCUUCCUUUCUAAAAUACGCUUCAUUUCCAUUUCUUUUACAUAACAUCUUAAAUAUUUUAUAAUAUCUUUUCUUUCAAAUUGAUCGAUCUUGUCUACAACCGCUUAUAAUGCUUUGUUAGCCAUACUUUCUUUGUGACCUUUAACUUAUUAUUGUUGUUGUUGCAUGAAUAAGGCCAAAGCUUCAAAUAUGCUUAUAGAGUUAGGAUCAAAAUGCAUAUCUUGUCCUCCAAUCGAA